rnacentral:rRNA from 1 species
UACGUAGGCAGCAAGCGUUGUUCGGAGUUACUGGGCGUAAAGGGUGUGUAGGCGGUUCCUUAAGUUUGCUGUGAAAUCUCCCGGCUUAACCGGGAGGGUGCGGUGAAUACUGAGGGACUAGAGUACGGGAGAGGAAAGUGGAAUUCCUGGUGUAGCGGUGAAAUGCGUAGAUAUCAGGAGGAACACCGGUGGUGUAGACGGCUUGCUGGACCGUAACUGACGCUGAGACACGAAAGCGUGGGUAGCAAACAGG